rnacentral:rRNA from 1 species
AGAAUCAACGCUGGCGGCGUGCCUAACACAUGCAAGUCGAACGAGAAAGGGUAGCAAUACCUGAGUAAAGUGGCGCACGGGUGAGUAACACGUGACUAACCUACCCUGGAGUGGGGGAUAACUGAGGGAAACCUUAGCUAAUACCGCAUAAUACCUACGGGUCAAAGGAGCAAUUCGCUUAAGGAGGGGGUCGCGGCAGAUUAGCUAGUUGGCGGGGUAAUGGCCCACCAAGGCAGUGAUCUGUA